CCCUUAGAUGUUCUGGGCCGCACGCGCGCUACACUGAUGCAUUCAACGAGCCUAUCCUUGACCGACAGGUCCGGGUAAUCUUUGAAUCUGCAUCGUGACGGGGAUAGAUUAUUGCAAUUAUUAAUCUUCAACGAGGAAUGCCUAGUAGGCGCAAGUCAUCAGCUUGCGUCGAUUACGUCCCUGCCCUUUGUACACACGGCCCGUCGCUCCUACCGAUUGGGUGUGCUGGUGAAAUGUUCGGAUCGGCCGUUUGUCGCGGUUUCCGCGUCAUGUGGCUGAGAAGUUCAUUAAACCCUCCCACCUAGAGGAAGGAGAAGUCGUAACA
rnacentral:rRNA from 1 species